ACCUAGCUAGCUCUGUUAGUAAAGCAUGAGAGUCUUGAUCUUGGGGUUGUGAGUUUGAGCCCCAUGUUGGGUA
rnacentral:tRNA from 1 species